AUUGAACGCUGGCGGCAUGCUUUACCAAUGAAAGUCGAACGCAAGCGCGGGCUUCGGCCUGGCGGCGAGUGGCGAACGGGUGAGUAAUAAAUCGGAAGGUGCCCGGUAGUGGGGGAUAGCCCGGCAAAAGCGGGUUUAAUCCGGCAACCGACCUGAGGGUGAAACGGGGGGUUCUCCGGCCGCGGCCCUUUUGGAGGGGCCGAUGGCGGAUUAGCUAGUUGGUGGGGUAAAGGCCUACCAAGGCGACGAUCUGUAGCUGGUCUGAGAGGACGACCAGCCACACUGGGACUGAGACACGGCCCAGACUCCUACGGGAGGCAGCAGUGGGGAAUUUUGGACAAUGGGCGAAAGCCUGAUCCAGCAAUGCCGCGUGUGUGAUGAAGGCCUUCGGGUUGUAAAGCACUUUUGGCGGGAACGAAAAGGACUGUGCCAAUACCACGGUUCGAUGACGGUACCCGCAGAAUAAGCACCGGCUAACUACGUG
rnacentral:rRNA from 1 species